AACACUCCCCACUCCCCAGACGCUGCUGAAGUGCUAAAGGGAAGUGUUAAUGAAGCUAGAUUAUAUGAAAGUGUUUUUGAAACAAACAUUUUUUGAGAUGCACCUGUACAAGAGGUGUGUUCAAAUUCGCAAACAUAGGUGAACAUUCGCGAACGUUUGCAAACAGGUUUUUGUUUGCCUUGAGUUUUUGGCUAACAUUUGCCAACACUCGCAAACAGUCUGAGGAGGUAGUUCUCUGUGAACAUACAGUGGAGCUGGACAUGAGCUGGACGAAGUGUUACGUGACAAUGGAAUGUUUACACCAAAUCGUUCAAAUGUAACUGUUCAGAGAACGUUUGUCACUGUUUGCCAGAUUUAAACGCACCUCAGAUGAUAACCUCUAUGUGUAAUCUAGUGAAACACAGUAAAGCUGUUCCCUCAGAGAGCCACACCCAUCUCUCCCAGGAGUGGCCGCAGCGUUGGGUCGGCCCUAACCCAGUCUUACUUCGCCACACACUGCAGCAGCGUUGGGUCGGCCCUAACCCAGUCUUACUUCGCCACACACUGCAGCAGGCCGGCCACACGUACAGUUCAUAGCUAUCAGAUUAUGGAAAAAAAUCCUCCUCCGUAUGCGGACUCAGCCACAAAUCCUGAUGGGGCUGGACCUCCACAACAUCCUGCCCAGCUGGGCCCAGACCAACCUCCACCACCUCAAUAUGUGGUGAACCAACAUGGAAUAAACCAAUAUGGAAUAAACCAAUAUGGAAUGAACCCACAUGGAAUGAACCAAUAUGGAAUGAACCAACCAGCACCAGUGGUAUUAGUGGUACAACCAAGUUUGACUGAUGUCCCUGGUCGGAUUGAGUGUCCUCACUGCAAGUCCCACAUUGUGACUGAAACCAGACACGUAAAUGGUGUUUUGACCUGGUUCCUAUGUGGUGGCCUCUUCAUGAUCUUUUGUUGGCCAUGUUCUUGCAUUCCGCUCUGUGUGGACUCCUGUAAGGAUGUGGAGCACAUUUGCCCAGAGUGCCACCUGGUAGUGCACCGCUACAGACGCUUGUGAAAACCCUGCCUGGUAGUGCACCGCUACAAACGCUUCACCAACAAAUCAUUACCAUGCACAUAAAACAAAACAUUCUAAUCCACUGAAAAUGGAAGGCACUUAUCUAAUUCUGUCUGUAUGUUUUGCAUGCAAUUAUGCUCAAAACUGAAUUGAAAAACGUAAUGUAGUUGCAGCAGUGUAAAGAAAGAGCUUCUCAUCGGCUUAUGACAUUUUCCACAUCUCCACAAUCCAGUUUCCAGGUGGCUAAUGUUCAUUUGUAAGACAUUGGAUCUGGUGCUGGGAGCUGUGACCUCAAACAGUUACAGACAAGGAGUCUGGUGGUCGACCAAUUCCACCAUGGAUUGUGUCGUUUAGAGUGCGCAAGGCCUUACUCGGGGCACACAUGACUACAUUCCAAGAUCACUGCUCCGAGGCUUAUCAUCCACUCUGGGGACGCGGAUACAAUGUGGACAGGAGAGCGAAUCGUAACAAAAGUGUGUCAGAUACAAACCUAUCUGACAUAGUGUGGAUAUAAUCAGACAUAGUGUGGAUAUAAUCUGACAUAGUGUGGAUAUAAUCUAACAUAGUGUGGAUAUAAUCUGACAUAAUCUGACAUAGUGUGGAUAUAAUCUGAC